rnacentral:lncRNA from 1 species
UGGAGGAGUCACUUACCAAGGAGUAAUUUCCCCAAAACGGUUCGGAGAAUGGUGCUUUGAGCAAGGAGAUCGAAAAUCACAGCCAAAUGAGCAAGAACACGGGUUUGAGCUGCGAAACAAUUUUUUCUGGAAGUGGAAGAAGAGGCUGGGAGCUAGAAUGAGUGGAGGGGGUGCCUGUGGGCCCCACAAGCUUGCACUCCGCCACCAGGGGGGUAGGUGGCGGUGGCAGGGCUUGUGGCCCACUGAUCUGGGGCCCAGGCCAGCUCUCAUGCCCAGAAAUUUUCAAAAAUUCCAGAAAAAAUCAUACUAAAUUUUCCGGACCAUCGGAGAACUUUUAUUUUUGAGGUAUUUUUAUCCGGGACG